rnacentral:tRNA from 1 species
GGGCCGUUAGCUCAGCCUGGUUAGAGCGCCUCACUUUUAAUGAGGAGGUCGCGAGUUCAAAUCUCGUACGGCUCA